CUGAGUGUUUACACAUGGCGAAUAAUAAAUAAACAACAGAUAUAUGUAACUGUAUUAUACAUCUUUUUUAAAUUGUUUUGAGAUGAAAAUGAUUAGAAAUAAGUCACUGAUUAAUGGAUAUUUGUAAAUGUAUUCUUUUCUUUCCUGCGUGUGCUGAUGAUUUCUGAUGAAAUUGUCUUUAAUGAAUUCUUUAUCACAGCGCUCACCUUUAACUAAUUGUUUAAUUGAUUAUGACACUGUUAAUGUGACGAUAAUGAAGAAUAAUUAGUUCACAAAACUCAUUGUUUUAAACCCAGAGGAAGACACGCGGAGCGCUCACACUCGGACAAUAAGUUCAUUAAUGCAUUCGUCAUUUUUAAAAUCUUUAAAUAUUUGCAAAAACAUAUAUAAUGUGUGAUAUUAUCAUAUUUCUAUUCGUUUUGCUUGGCGGAAGUUCAAUAGAAAUAAACAACACUAUCAUGAUGCGGAAGGAAUUGUAAAUGAAUUCUUAUAAAUGAACAUUAUACAUUCUUUUAAAUCGGUUUUUUGCUGGAGUUUUUUGUUUGAAAAUAUUUAUUUAUUUUUAUUUAUUUUAAACAGCACACACUUUCACUAAUCAGUUCAUUACCUGGACAGCGUCGAUGUGAAGAUCGUUAGCCGUUAACCGCGUUACUGGUGUUUGUGAUGGUAACGGCGGUGUUUGAGGUGUGCGUUGUGUUAGUGGUGUUAUGGUGGUGUUCGGUGGUAAUGGUGGUGUCUGCUGGUUAUGGUGGUGUUUGGUGGUAAUGGUGGUGUUUGGUGGUAAUGGUGGUAAUGGUGCUGUGGUGUUGUUGAUGUGGUGUUUGGUGGUAAUGGUGGUGUUUGGUGGUAAUGGUGGUAAUGGUGGUGUUUGGUGGUAAUGGUGGUAAUAGUGAUGUGGUGUUUGGCAGUAAUGGUGGUGUUUGGUGGUAAUGGUAGU
ensembl:lncRNA